AAUGGUUCUCACAUGAACACUAAAAUCUGCUGCGCAGGUUUCUCACAGUAACCCCAACCCUCCUUCUUCUGCUAUACCCACACUUUUUUUUUUCUUCUUUUCUUUCUCUUAAGAGGUAUUGUUUUGGUGGUGCAGUUCUUCUAUAAAGUUGCUCUAACCUAAAAGUCACUUGAGUUUGGUGGAGUUAAAGCUAUUUCAGAUCAGAGGAGCAUUUUCAGUAUUCUGACUUGCUUUCCUUUGUGAAGGUACUGGUACUGUGAAGGAAUGAUUCACUUCAUCUCAGUUUAUUUUCACUGGAAUGAAAUUCUAUCACGCCUCCUGUUGGUUCAAAGAACUUCUCUGCAGAGCACUCGUUUCUUAUAUCGUAAUGUCAAGGAAUAUGGUUUCGUCCAAACAUGUAGGGAAUGCGGUGCAACUCUUAGAGUUUUGGGGAGUGUUUGGAAAGGGCUAAAAGACUUAAAAGCCACAAGGUGCCUGGAAUUCAAGGGUUACUGUGCUCGUAUCACCAGCCUUCUUUCCUUUUUGCUGCUCCCUUCAACUCAGCAUUCAACGAGGGAAUUCCUUUCUCCUACUCCAAGUGGACGCGAGAUUAUCUUCUACUCAGAAUAAGAACUCCGAGGAUGCUGCGGCCAGUUCUCCAAAGGGAACUGGAAAAUCUUGUCAUCAAUGCCGGCAAAAAAAGGAAAAUUUUACUGCAACAUGCAAGAACCUCAAGAAUGGAAAAUAUUGUCCAAUUAAGUUCUGCAACAAGUGCCUCUUGAUCAGGAAACUCAGGAGAUAUAUUUAACAUAUGCAAAAGGAGUGAAAGAAGCAAAACUUAAGAUUGCUGCAACUAAGAAAAAGUGUGAAGUUGCGGAAUUAGAAGGCAAAAGUUGUUCCUUCAACUGUGUCCCCUUUACAAUGGAGGACCAUGAUGCUCUUAUAAAAUGAAGAACUGAGGUUGAUGAAGCACACGCUGACACGGUCAUGUUAAAGAGGACAAAUAAAAAAGAGAAAUUAGGAUGCGAUGCCACGAGAAUCAAUCCAGAGUUUGUGGACAAUAAUGGGAUGAUAUUUUAGAACUUGCAACAUGACAAUGAUGAACCUGUUAUUCUGUUGUAAGUCCUGCAGAGAAGGAUGAGGUUGAUAAAUAUAUUUCUUCAAGGACUACAAGACUUAAUAGCCGCAAGGAUUCUCACCUGCUUGUGAGCGAAUCAAGUUCGCAGGACUUUUGAGUGAAUAAUGUUAUUAUUGUUAAGAGGAUAUAUAUUGGCCAAAAUACUUAUUUCAUACGGCUCUUCUUUCAGUGAUGGAGUAUUGGUUUUGGUAGAAAUCUUUCUCUGGUGAUGGCCCUUUUAGUGGAACACAAAAUGAAAUGUCUUUUUUUUAUUCUGUAUAUUUCCAAUUUAAUAAAGAAUUUUAGAUCUUUUAUCUUGAUCGAUUAUUAGUAAUGUAGACUUUUAUUUAAUAAGAAUUUUAUGAUUACUUUU